UUGAGCUUGAUCAUGGCUCAGAUUGAACGCUGGCGGCAGGCCUAACACAUGCAAGUCGAGCGGCAGCACGGGAAGCUUGCUUCCUGGUGGCGAGCGGCGGACGGGUGAGUAAUGCAUAGAAAUCUGCCCGGUAGUGGGGGAUAACCUGGGGAAACCCAGGCUAAUACCGCAUACGUCCUACGGGAGAAAGCAGGGGAUCUUCGGACCUUGCGCUAUCGGAUGAGUCUAUGUCGGAUUAGCUUGUUGGUGAGGUAAUGGCUCACCAAGGCGACGAUCCGUAGCUGGUCUGAGAGGAUGAUCAGCCACAUCGGGACUGAGACACGGCCCGAACUCCUACGGGAGGCAGCAGUGGGGAAUAUUGGACAAUGGGCGAAAGCCUGAUCCAGCCAUGCCGCGUGUGUGAAGAAGGCCUUCGGGUUGUAAAGCACUUUCAGUGGGGAAGAAAGCCUUGGGGCUAAUACCCUCGAGGAAGGACUCACCCUCA
rnacentral:rRNA from 1 species